rnacentral:rRNA from 1 species
UACGGAGGGGGCCAGCGUUGUUCGGAAUCAUUGGGCGUAAAGGGCGCGUAGGCGGCCGAGCAAGUCGGACGUGAAAUCCCCCGGCUCAACUGGGGAACUGCAUCCGAAACUGCCUGGCUUGAGUCCUGGAGAGGGUAGUGGAAUUCCCAGUGUAGCGGUGAAAUGCGUAGAUACUGGGAGGAACACCGGUGGCGAAGGCGGCUACCUGGACAGGUACUGACGCUGAGGCGCGAAAGCGAGGGGAGCAAACAGG